UAACAAGAAAUGAAAAUUCAUUUAUGAUUUCGACCCAUAAUUAUUGGUGUUAAUACACCCUGUUCA
rnacentral:tRNA from 1 species